rnacentral:rRNA from 1 species
UACAGAGGGUGCGAGCGUUAAUCGGAAUUACUGGGCGUAAAGCGCACGUAGUCGGCUUUGCAAGUCGGGUGUGAAAUCCCCGGGCUCAACCUGGGAACUGCAUCCGAGACUGCAUUGCUAGAGUAUGGGAGAGGGAAGCGGAAUUUCUGGUGUAGCAGUGAAAUGCGUAGAUAUCAGAAGGAACAUCAGUGGCGAAGGCGGCUUCCUGGACCGGUAUUGACGCUGAGGCGCGAAAGCCAGGGGAGCAAACGGG